rnacentral:rRNA from 1 species
UGGGGAAUAUUGGACAAUGGGGGGAACCCUGAUCCAGCCAUGCCGCGUGUGUGAAGAAGGCCUUAUGGUUGUAAAGCACUUUAAGCGAGGAGGAGGGUACUGGUAUUAAUACUACCAGGUACUGGACGUUACUCGCAGAAUAAGCACCGGCUAACUCUGUGCCAGCAGCCGCGGUAAUACAGAGGGUGCGAGCGUUAAUCGGAUUUACUGGGCGUAAAGCGUGCGUAGGCGGCUAAUUGAGUCGGAAGUGAAAUCCCCGAGCUUAACUUGGGAAUUGCAUUCGAUACUGGUUAGCUAGAGUGUGGGAGAGGAUGGUAGAAUUCCAGGUGUAGCGGUGAAAUGCGUAGAGAUCUGGAGGAAUACCGAUGGCGAAGGCAGCCAUCUGGCCUAACACUGACGCUGAGGUACGAAAGCAUGGGGAGCAAACAGG